rnacentral:rRNA from 1 species
GAAUUCGCCCUUAGAGUUCGAUUCUGGGUCAGGACGAACGCUGGCGGCGUGCCUAACACAUGCAAGUCGAGCGAUGAAAAAGAAGUAGAUCUCUUCGGAGUGACACCUCUUUGGAUUAGCGGCGGACGGGUGAGUAACACGUGAGCAACCUGCCGUACACAUUGGGAUAGCCUCGGGAAACUGGGAUUAAUACCAAACGAAACAUAUUGAUAGCAUUAUCAAAAUGUCAAAGAUUUAUCGGUGUACGAUGGGCUCGCGUCUGAUUAGCUAGUUGGUGAGAUAAAAGCUCACCAAGGCAAUGAUCAGUAGCCGGCCUGAGAGGGUGAUCGGCCACAUUGGGACUGAGACACGGCCCAAACUCCUACGGGAGGCAGCAGUGGGGAAUAUUGCACAAUGGAGGGAACUCUGAUGCAGCGACGCCGCGUGAGCGAAGAAGGAAUUCGUUUCGUAAAGCUCUGUCCUAUGGGAAGAUAAUGACGGUACCAUAGAAGAAAGCCCCGGCUAACUACGUGCCAGCAGCCGCGGUAAUACGUAGGGGGCGAGCGUUGUCCGGAAUUAUUGGGCGUAAAGGGUUCGUAGGCGGUAAUACAUGUCAGAUGUGAAAUCUUGUGGCUUAACCACAUCAAGCAUCUGAAACUGUAUAACUUGAGUGGAGGAGAGGUAAGUGGAAUUCCUAGUGUAGCGGUGAAAUGCGUAGAUAUUAGGAAGAAUACCAGUAGCGAAGGCGACUUACUGGCCUCUAACUGACGCUGAUGAACGAAAGCGUGGGUAGCAAACAGGAUUAGAUACCCUGGUAGUCCACGCCGUAAA